rnacentral:rRNA from 1 species
GACGUAGGGGGCCAGCGUUGCUCGGAAUUACUGGGCGUAAAGGGUCCGUAGGCGGUGCGGUAAGUCGGGAGUGAAAUCUCUGGGCUUAACUCAGAGGCUGCUUCCGAAACUACCGUGCUAGAGUGCGAGAGAGGCAAGUGGAAUUGCGGGUGUAGCGGUGAAAUGCGUAGAUAUCCGCAGGAACAUCCGAGGCGAAAGCGGCUCACUGGACCAUUACUGACGCUGAUGCACGAAAGCUAGGGGAGCAAACAGG